UGCCAGCCGCCGCGGUAAUACGGAGGGUGCAAGCGUUGUUCGGAAUUAUUGGGCGUAAAGGGCACGCAGGCGGACUACUAAGUUGGAUGUAUAAUCUUCGGGCUCAACCCGAUUCCUGCAUCCAAAACUGGUAGUCUAGAGUCUUGUAGGGGAAAGCGGAAUUCUCGGUGUAGCGGUGGAAUGCGUAGAUAUCGAGAGGAACACCAAUGGCGAAGGCAGCUUUCUGGACAAAGACUGACGCUCAGGUGCGAAAGCGUGGGGAGCAAACAGGAUUAGAUA
rnacentral:rRNA from 1 species